ACAUCCAGAGAACUUAGCAGAGAUGCUUUGGUGCCUUCGGGAACUCUGAGACAGGUGCUGCAUGGCUGUCGUCAGCUCGUGUUGUGAAAUGUUGGGUUAAGUCCCGCAACGAGCGCAACCCUUAUCCUUUGUUGCCAGCGGUUCGGCCGGGAACUCAAAGGAGACUGCCGGUGAUAAACCGGAGGAAGGUGGGGAUGACGUCAAGUCAUCAUGGCCCUUACGGCCAGGGCUACGCACGUGCUACAAUGGCGCAUACAAAGAGAAGCGACCUCGCGAGAGCAAGCGGACCUCAUAAAGUGCGUCGUAGUCCGGAUUGGAGUCUGCAACUCGACUCCAUGAAGUCGGAAUCGCUAGUAAUCGUAGAUCAGAAUGCUACGGUGAAUACGUUCCCGGGCCUUGUACACACCGCCCGUCACACCAUGGGAGUGGGUUGCAAAAGAAGUAGGUAGCUUAACCUUCGGGAGGGCGCUUACCACUUUGUGAUUCAUGACUGGGGUGAAGUCGUAACAAGGUAGGCGUAGCGAG
rnacentral:rRNA from 1 species